rnacentral:lncRNA from 1 species
CUCUUCCCAGCGGAUUCCGAGCACAAUAAACUUAAAGCCAGCCAAGCCAGGGACUUGUUGUCAAAGAUGUUAGUGAUUGACCCAGCGAAGAGGAUAUCGGUGGAUGACGCAUUGCAGCAUCCGUACAUCAACGUUUGGUACGACCCUGCUGAAGUGGAGGCGCCUCCGCCUCAGAUAUAUGACAAGCAACUGGAUGAAAGGGAGCACACCAUCGAAGAAUGGAAAGAACUCAUCUACAAGGAAGUAAUGAACUCAGAAGAGAAGACUAAGAACGGCGUAGUCAAAGGCCAGCCCUCACCUUCAGCACAGGUGCAGCAGUGAACAGCAGUGAGAGUCUCCCUCCAUCCUCGUCUGUCAACGACAUCUCCUCCAUGUCCACCGACCAGACCCUCGCAUCCGACACUGACAGCAGCCUGGAAGCCUCGGCGGGACCGCUGGGUUGUUGCAGGUGACUAGCCGCCUGCCUGCGAAACCCAGCGUUCUUCAGGAGAUGACGCCAUGAUAGAACACAGCGCACAUGCACACACACAGAGCUUGUACACACACACACACACACACACACACGCACGCACGCACACACACACACACGAACGCACGCAAGCACGCACGCACAAAUGCACUCACGCAAUGUCAAGAAAAAAAAAGUAGCGAGAGAGAGCGAGAGAGCCAACGUAAAACUAAGUUAAAUCUUUCUGCGUGCUUCUCCAGAGUUCUGUAUCGCAGCUGAGCUGAAAUGUAUACUUAACUUCUAGUCGCGCUCGCGCGCUCGCGCGCUCGCUUUGGUCUCCCUCCGGCAGUGCUUACUACACAAGACAAACCAGACACAAUUAGAGAAGCCUUUCCCUAAAGUGUAACUUAAGUGGCUGCAGAACCAGCAACCUGUAACCGCCCUUCAAAUGGCAUGAGGAGGUGGGCACCGGCCCCGCCCAGCAUGUGUGUGUCUCUAUCUCGCGUCUACCUGCUCCUUUCGGCCUAGUCAGAUGGGUGUAGAUACAGACCCGCAUGUGUCUGUAUUCAAACGGCACCUAGAGAUGCUCCUGUCAGUGUCCUCAAGGCUCCACCAAGACGCGCACCGGGCUACCACAUGGUCCCUGUCAUGUGACCUAUUACUCUGACAUAAAUCCAUCUGUAAUAUAUUGCCAGUAUAUAAGCCGUUUAGUUUGUCAAUUGAUUAAGCUGUAUGUCUUAUAAGAGACUAUGUAAAGGGGGAAUAUGGAGGAGUGAACUCUCAGACCCUUGAAGAUGUAGCUUCUGGAUUUGAACCGAUUAAAUGGCACCUGUAUACCGAU